CCCUGCUAUCGCUCCCUAAACUCACAGGUAUUCCGGAAAUCCUGCUAUCUCUCCCAAAACUCACAGGUAUUCCGGAAACCCUGCUAUCGCUCCCUAAACUCACAGGUAUUCCGGAAAUCCUGCUAUCUCUCCCAAAACUCACAGGUAUUCCGGAAAUCCUGCUAUCUCUCCUAAAACUCACAGGUAUUCCGGAAACCCUGCUAUCUCUCCCUAAACUCACAGGUAUUCCGGAAACCCUGCUAUCUCUCCCAAAACUCACAGGUAUUCCGGAAACCCUGCUAUCUCUCCCAAAACUCACAGGUAUUCCGGAAACCCUGCUAUCUCUCCCAAAACUCACAGGUAUUCCGGAAACCCUGCUAUCUCUCCCUAAAC